UUUGUUUUUUAAUUAAAAACURGAAUGAAAGGUUAUACAUUUAAAUUUCUUUAUUAAUUUUUUAUAUAUAAUUUAUAUUAAAUAUAAAAAUAUAUUUUUUAAAUAAAAAGACGAUAAGACCCUAUUAAAUUUUACUUAUAGUUUAACUGGGGAAGUUUUAAAAAUAAAAUUUUUUAUAAAAAUAAAAAUAAAUCUAAUAAAAUUAAAAUUAAAUUAAAUUACUAUAGGGAUAACAGCAUUAUAUUUUUUAAAAGUUCAUAUUAAAAAAAAUGAUUGUGACCUCGAUGUUGAAUUAUAUUUUCUUUAUUAAUGCAAUAAUUAUAAAAGUAGAUCUGUUCGAUCUUUAAAAUAUUACAUGAUUUGAGUUCAAACCGGUGUAAACCAGGUUGGUUUCUAUCUUUUUAUAAAUUCAUAUAUAUAUGUAUAUAUAUAUAUAUAUAAAUUUUUCAAGUACGAAAGGAAAAAAAAAUUUUUAUUUUAAUUAAUUAGCAAUUAAUAUGCAUUAGAUUUAGAAUCUAAAUAAACUAUU
rnacentral:rRNA from 1 species